AUCCCCUCUGUCAAAGUUCAAUAUGUUUUCAAUUCUCCACCCAAACUCGUCAUGUUGGCUCAUGAUGGUCARCAUAAGGAAACCGUUAGAGUUGACAACUGGAAACGUGAACAUUUGCUGCACUUCCUAAGAGAGAAGGUCAAACCUAGUUCAUCUGCAAUUUGAGACCAGAUCAAAUUAAGCCUUGUUUAUCUGCAAUUUUAAUCCUCUUCGUUCUGCUUGAUCUUAUUAUUAAUAAUUUUUUGGGGGGUUUCAUUUUAAAUGGAAAAUCACCUCAGCUCUU